rnacentral:rRNA from 1 species
UACAGAGACUGCAAGCGUUAUUCGGAUUCACUGGGCGUAAAGGGUGCGCAGGCGGCCAAGUGUGUGAGGUGUGAAAGCCCGGGGCUUAACCCCGGAAUUGCACCUCAAACUACUUGGCUAGAGCAUUGGAGAGGGUAGCAGAAUUCACAGUGUAGCAGUGAAAUGCGUAGAUAUCGUGAGGAAUACCAGAGGCGAAGGCGGCUACCUGGACAAUUGCUGACGCUCAGGCACGAAAGCGUGGGGAGCAAAAGGG